rnacentral:sRNA from 1 species
AUGAUGGUCAGUGUUACCUUAUCAUUGCAGGAAACCUUUUAGCAGAUCUUACUAAAGAAAUCUGAGCAACAAUGACAUUACUAGGACUUCUUUUUAUUAUAUUUGAAUUAGUGGUACCUCCACUCCAGCAACCGAACGCUGUAAGUCAUCUUCAAUAGUAUCUUCUCUUUAGGU